UUGAACGCUGGCGGCAUGCUUUACACAUGCAAGUCGCACGGCAGCGCGGGCUUCGGCCUGGCGGCGAGUGGCGAACGGGUGAGUAAUGCAUCGGAACGUGCCCAGUAGUGGGGGAUAGCCCGGCGAAAGCCGGAUUAAUACCGCAUACGACCUGAGGGUGAAAGCGGGGGACCGAAAGGCCUCGCGCUAUUGGAGCGGCCGAUGUCGGAUUAGCUAGUUGGUGGGGUAAAGGCUUACCAAGGCGACGAUCCGUAGCUGGUCUGAGAGGACGACCAGCCACACUGGGACUGAGACACGGCCCAGAAUCCUACGGGAGGCAGCAGUGGGGAAUUUUGGACAAUGGGGGCAACCCUGAUCCAGCCAUGCCGCGUGCGGGAAGAAGGCCUUCGGGUUGUAAACCGCUUUUGUUCGGGAAGAAAUCCUCUGGGCUAAUACCCCGGGGGGAUGACGGUACCGGAAGAAUAAGCACCGGCUAACUACGUG
rnacentral:rRNA from 1 species